rnacentral:tRNA from 3 species
GCGGGUGUAGCUCAAUGGUAGAGCGCUGGCCUUCCAAGCCCGUUACGUGGGUUCGAUUCCCAUCACCCGCUCCA